rnacentral:rRNA from 1 species
GACGAACGCUGGCGGCGUGCCUAAUACAUGCAAGUAGAACGCUGAAGGAGGAGCUUGCUUCUCUGGAUGAGUUGCGAACGGGGGAGUAACGCGUAGGCAACCUGCCUGGCAUCGGGGGAUAACUAUUGGAAACGAUAGCUAAUAUCGCAUAAUAGCAGAUGUUGCAUGACAACCGUUUGAAAUGUGCAAUUGCACCGCUACCAGAUGGACAUGCGUUAUAUUAGAUAUUUGGUGGGGUAACAGCUCACCAAGGCGACGGUACAUAGCCGGACUUAGAGGGUGGUCGACCGAAGUGGGAAUGGAGCCCGGCCCCGGAUCCUACGGGAGGCAGGAGUAGGGGAACAUCGGCCAUGGAGGGCAAUCUGAACGCGGAAAGCCGCGUGAGGGAAAGAGGUCUUCGGAUCGUAAAAAUCUUUUUUAUGGGAAGGACAAGUAGGAGGGUAAAAAGUUCACGCUGUGACGGUAUCUUAAGAGUAAGGGACGGCUAACUACGUG